rnacentral:rRNA from 1 species
GUCGAACGAAGUUAGGAAGCUUGCUUCUGAUACUUAGUGGCGGAUGGGUGAGUAAUGCUUAGGAAUCUGCCUAGUAGUGGGGGAUAACUUGGGGAAACCCAAGCUAAUACCGCAUACGACCUACGGGUGAAAGGGGGCUUUUAGCUCUCGCUAUUAGAUGAGCCUAAGUCGGAUUAGCUGGUUGGUGGGGUAAAGGCCUACCAAGGCGACGAUCUGUAGCUGGUCUGAGAGGAUGAUCAGCCACACUGGGACUGAGACACGGCCCAGACUCCUACGGGAGGCAGCAGUGGGGAAUAUUGGACAAUGGGCGAAAGCCUGAUCCAGCCAUGCCGCGUGUGUGAAGAAGGCCUUUUGGUUGUAAAGCACUUUAAGUGGGGAGGAAAAGCUUAUGGUUAAUACCCAUAAGCCCUGACGUUACCCACAGAAUAAGCACCGGCUAACUCUGUGCCAGCAGCCGCGGUAAUACAGAGGGUGCAAGCGUUAAUCGGAAUUACUGGGCGUAAAGCGCGCGUAGGUGGUUAUUUAAGUCAGAUGUGAAAGCCCCGGGCUUAACCUGGGAACUGCAUCUGAUACUGGAUAACUAGAGUAGGUGAGA